CUUGGGAGCUCGAGGAGUCAAUGCGGAGGGAAUAUCCGCAUCUGUUUGAGUCGACGAGUUAAGGUAUGCGUAAUUUCGCGGACGAAAUUAUUUUAAGGGGUGGAGAAUGUAAUAUACCGAAAAUUCGGAAAAUAGAUGUCGAACUUUAGUCAAAUUGACCAAAGUGCGAGGAUGGUACACUUCGGAAGGUCAGAAGGUGUUAAAAUGAUCAAAAGUGUGUUGUGGAAGGUUUUCGAGAGCUAAAGAAUUAAAUUCUGCAAAACUGCAGAUUUUCAGCUCUCGGGGACCGGUCCCUGGUGGGAGAGAUCGGUUCCCGAACGCGUAUGAAA
rnacentral:lncRNA from 1 species